AUGGUUCCGGAGUUGUUAGUUCUUGGGCUUCAUCGAUCGUGGGAGAUUUGCCAUCACCUAAGAAAAUACAGCAACCGUGAUGUGGAGCAUCCCUCAACCAUCACCAUGGAUUUCACACCACCUCCGCAAGCAUGGAAAGGACAUACGUCGAGAGCUCACACAUGCACCGUCGAAACUGAGGUAACUUCUUUCCUCUUCGAACUCCCUUCGAUUUCACAUGUGAACCGGGUCCUACCUCAAAUGGAGAUAUAUUGCACUCUCAGGUACCAAGGAGAUGACCGUGGGGAGGUGAGGAUGAAGACCCGGACACACAAGCAGAAGGAGAAGGAGAGAAGCAUGAAGAACGAGAGGAUCGGAGGCCCCUGGACCCUCCGGGUGCCCGGACGUGGACAUCCCCGGGUGCCCGGUCCCCUAGCAGCCGGCCGGCCCCCUCCCUGGACGCCCCAGGUGCCCGACCUGGUUGGCCCUGGGUGCCCGGCCCUGCUGCUGGGCACUGCAGCCGCCGCCCCAGGUGCCCGGCCAGCUGGCCCCUGGUGCUGA
rnacentral:rRNA from 1 species